rnacentral:rRNA from 1 species
UAGGGAAUCUUCCGCAAUGGACGAAAGUCUGACGGAGCAACGCCGCGUGAGUGAUGAAGGUUUUCGGAUCGUAAAACUCUGUUAUUAGGGAAGAACAAAUGCGUAAGUAACUGUGCGCAUCUUGACGGUACCUAAUCAGAAAGCCACGGCUAACUACGUGCCAGCAGCCGCGGUAAUACGUAGGUGGCAAGCGUUAUCCGGAAUUAUUGGGCGUAAAGCGCGCGUAGGCGGUCUCUUAAGUCUGAUGUGAAAGCCCACGGCUCAACCGUGGAGGGUCAUUGGAAACUGGGAAACUUGAGUACAGAAGAGGAAAGUGGAAUUCCAUGUGUAGCGGUGAAAUGCGCAGAGAUAUGGAGGAACACCAGUGGCGAAGGCGACUUUCUGGUCUGUAACUGACGCUGAUGUGCGAAAGCGUGGGGAUCAAACA